GGAAGUAAAAGUCCUAACAAGGUCUCCGUAGGUGAACCUGCGGAGGGAUCAUUACAGAGUUCAUGCCCUAACGGGUAGAUCUCCCACCCUAUGUUAUCAUCACUUUGUUGCUUUGGCGGGCCGUCAGGCCUCGGCUUGGCUACCGGCUCUCGCUGGUAAGCGCCCGCCAGAGAACCCCAAACCCUGAAUAUCAGUGUCGUCUGAGUACUAUAUAAUAGUUAAAACUUUCAACAACGGAUCUCUUGGUUCUG
rnacentral:misc_RNA from 1 species